AUGGGCCGAGCAUGCGGGCAAUCGAGCCAGCAUGGCUGGAUCAUCCCAUUUAGCCACCUUUGGGUCGAGGGUCGAGGACUCUUCCCUAAUGCACAGAUGAAAAUGAUUGGCAUCGGUUGGGAAAUAGCGAGGUACUACCCAAAUGGUAGCUUGGAGGACACGGUCUUCUCAGGUGGUGCCUUAGCGACGUGGCAAGGGGUGAAUUUGGCGCGAUCGGUGGCUCCCAAGGAAUGGCAGCGGCAGACCAGUGACACCGCAGGGUCACUGUCGUCUCUGUUGGACAUUUUUCCGGUGGACGCGGAGGAGAUAGCCAAGAUCAGAACAUCACCGAGGAUGGGAGACGACAUCCUUGCAUGGGGCCCAGAACACAAUGGAUGCUUUUCGGUGCGGAGCGCUUAUCGACUUGCUUUGGAGGAUCAUCUUCGAUCUUCGUCGGUCGCGGAGAGCAGGGCACCGGACGGGCGACGAGCCGGCUGGGCUUUUAUUUGGAGGUGCCCUGCUCCUCCCAAGAUUUGA
rnacentral:rRNA from 1 species